CUGGGCAUGUCCUCUCACAGGUCAGAAGUCCCGCAAGAAGCACGCUCACCUGAAGGCAGACCCUGAAGCUCCAACCCCUAUGGUACGAAGUUUUGUUGUUGGUGAGGCUGCUGCUGGGGCUAGAAGAUGGUUCCUUCGCCCUCUCAGGCUGCUCCCACAAGUGAUGCAUGAAUCUUCACGUUCCCCUCUCAUGUGCACGCUUCUGCUGCUAAGCCCUGGCUCUGUCCAUCCAGGUCACAACACGUGCCUCAAAACGGCGUUCUGGGGGUGCAGAGGAGCCCCCAAAGCCAGCCGUGAAGGAGGAGGAAGAGAAGGCAGCUCCUGAUGGGCCAAGGAAGGGACGUGCCCGUGGGAAGAAGAAGGUGGCUGCUGCUCCAACCUUAUCAGAGCCAGAUGCUCCGGUCAGAGCAAAAAGAAACCGGACAUCAGCACGCAGGGGCAGAGGUGCAGCUCCUGCAGUGUGAGUACUGCACACUGCCUUCCGCACACCUCAGCCUUUGGAAACGUGUGACACUGCCUCUGCUGUGGAGUCACGCUGGCCUGGGCUGCCUGGUGUUGCUUUCAGGCAUGCCUGCUUGUAGCACUUGCUCUUUGCAACACGACUGCUCUUGCAGCCUCAGGGAUGGGGGCAGGCUGGCGCUCCUCCCCCUUUCUGUUCUUAAAUACUUUUUUACAACCUUGCUUGUCCCUUCUGAGUGGUUUUAGAAUCAGUUCCUCAAAGGGACCACUGAUUGUGCAUCACGUCAGAUUCUGAUCCCUCCCUAUACCCUCUUUCUUUUUUUAAUCGCUGCCUGGAUCACCGAGAAAGCUGGUUUUAGAUGGUUAAUAAAAGUAUUUUGUGU
rnacentral:lncRNA from 1 species